GUGCUUGCUUUGGCAGCACAUAUACUAAAAUUGGGAUUAUACAGAAAAUAUUUGCAUGGGCCCUGUGCAAGGAUGGCAUGCAGAUUUCUAAAGUUUUCCAUAUUAAA